rnacentral:rRNA from 1 species
GAUGAACGCUAGCUACAGGCUUAACACAUGCAAGUCGCAGGGUAACAUGAGGAAAGCUUGCUUUCCUUGAUGACGACUGGCGCACGGGUGAGUAACGCGUAUCCAACCUCCCAUAACUACGGGAUAACCCGUUGAAAGACGGCCUAAUACCGUAUGAUAUCGUUUGCUGACAUCAAAUAACGAUUAAAGGUUUAGCGGUUAUGGAUGGGGAUGCGUCUGAUUAGCUUGUUGGCGGGGUAACGGCCCACCAAGGCGACGAUCAGUAGGGGUUCUGAGAGGAAGGUCCCCCACAUUGGAACUGAGACACGGUCCAAACUCCUACGGGAGGCAGCAGUGAGGAAUAUUGGUCAAUGGGCGAGAGCCUGAACCAGCCAAGUAGCGUGCAGGAUGACGGCCCUAUGGGUUGUAAACUGCUUUUAUGUGGGGAUAAAGUGCGUGACGUGUCAUGCAUUGCAGGUACCACAUGAAUAAGGACCGGCUAAUUCCGUG